rnacentral:rRNA from 1 species
AACGAACGCUGGCGGCGUGCUUAACACAUGCAAGUCGAACGCGAAAGGGACUUCGGUCCUGAGUAAAGUGGCGCACGGGUGAGUAACGCGUAGAUAACCUGUCUUCAUGUCUGGAAUAAUACGCCGAAAGGGGUACUAAUACCGGAUAUUCUUGCUUUUCAUAAGUUAUGCAAGCAAAGGUGGCCUCUGCAUAUGCUACUGCAUGAAGAGGGGUCUGCGUACCAUUAGCUAGUAGGUGGGGUAAUGGCCUACCUAGGCGACGAUGGUUAGCGGGUCUGAGAGGAUGAUCCGCCACACUGGCACUGGAACACGGGCCAGACUCCUACGGGAGGCAGCAGUGAGGAAUAUUGCGCAAUGGGGGAAACCCUGACGCAGCGACGCCGCGUGAGUGAGGAAGGCCUUCGGGUCGUAAAGCUCUGUCAAGAGGAAAGAAGUGUACAAUGGCUAAUACCUGUUGUAUUUGACGGUACCUCUAAAGGAAGCACCGGCUAACUCCGUGCCAGCAGCAGC